AGGGCCGUUGAAGACUACAACGUUGAUAGGCAGGAUGUGGAAGUGGUGUGAGCCAUUAAGCUAACCUGUACUAAUUACCCGUGAGGCUUAACCAU
rnacentral:rRNA from 1 species